rnacentral:tRNA from 1 species
GGGGCGGUAGCUCAGUUGGUUAGAGCACGGCACUCAUAAUGCUUUUGUCGUGGGUUCGAGCCCCACCCGCCCCA